rnacentral:rRNA from 3 species
CGGGUGGUAAUGCCGGAUGCUCCAGUUGAUCGCAUGGUCUUCUGGGAAAGCUUUCGCGGUAUGGGAUGGGGUCGCGUCCUAUCAGCUUGACGGCGGGGUAACGGCCCACCGUGGCUUCGACGGGUAGCCGGCCUGAGAGGGCGACCGGCCACAUUGGGACUGAGAUACGGCCCAGACUCCUACGGGAGGCAGCAGUGGGGAAUAUUGCACAAUGGGCGCAAGCCUGAUGCAGCGACGCCGCGUGAGGGAUGGAGGCCUUCGGGUUGUAAACCUCUUUUAUCGGGGAGCAAGCGAGAGUGAGUUUACCCGUUGAAUAAGCACCGGCUAACUACGUGCCAGCAGCCGCGGUAAUACGUAGGGUGCAAGCGUUAUCCGGAAUUAUUGGGCGUAAAGGGCUCGUAGGCGGUUCGUCGCGUCCGGUGUGAAAGUCCAUCGCUUAACGGUGGAUCCGCGCCGGGUACGGGCGGGCUUGAGUGCGGUAGGGGAGACUGGAAUUCCCGGUGUAACGGUGGAAUGUGUAGAUAUCGAAAAAAAACACCA